rnacentral:lncRNA from 1 species
UGGUUUGAUGGGGUUUGCUCAGGCAUGGGUUCAGCAUGAAGCACAAGAGGGAGGACUUUAAAAUCACUUGCUUUUAUUUACACUCACUGCAAGUUGGUGAUGAUGUUUAGGCCUAAAUUAAGGAAGGCCAUUUACAAUGCCACUCAAGUUCUCUGUCACUGGUUUCUGUUCUUGAGCCCCUAGAAUCAAGCUGGGCUUUGAGGACAUGUGCUUCCAUAGAAGCAAGAGGAGUAAGACUUCAAGGCCUGCUUGGCUGUAAUAAAAGCCUUCCUAGAUGAACCACUCCCAAUGAAAUGUUAGAAAACAAAAUGCAGUAGCUUUGUACAGGUAGGGGCUAUAUCUGUACAAUGUACUUUAGUCAUUUUGUAGAGAAGUAGUUUUUCAUCAUUGAAGAUGCAUACUGAAGGGACAGAUUAAUUGCUCUAGUAGUCUACUUAGCAUAUACAAGGGACUAGCCACAUCCCCAGCACCACACUUAAAAGACGUGGCCCAGGACUUUAAUCCCAGUACUCAGGUGGAGAUAGCAGGAUCAGAGGUUCAAGGCUCAGGUUCUCUGUCAGAAGUCAAAUGAAAACCUAGGGUUUUCUAACAUUUUCCCCCUCGGCUCCAUUGUUAGCAUUGAGAACUGUGAAGUCACAUUGGUUCCCGUUAACGCUAAUAUUUGUUUCCCCCGUGAAACUUGGGAGAAUCUACUCUUUGUUACCAGUGCUCUGAAAUCACGGAGAUGGACCUUCUAAGUCUGUUUCACCCUUUUCUGAGCACUUCUCCCGCCCCAACACACACACACCUCUAUCCUGUUGGUAUAUGCUACUAAAGACUGGGCUGGGAUUUAGCAUAGUGCACAGUGCUUGCCUAGUAUGCACAAAACCCAGAGUUAGUGUUUCUUUUCACUAGCUUGCUUGGAUGGAUGGAUGGUUGGUUGGUUGGUUGGUUUUCAGUGCUGGGAACCAAACCUCUCAUUCAUGCUAAGAAGCACUACACUUACUACACCUCAGAGUUAACCCAUCAGCCCUGCAUUUCUUUAACAGAAAUUCUUUGUGUUACUGUGCUCAUAGGUUUAAUGUAUAUAUUCUGUCUUCCAUCCUGUGACGUCAUAAAAAUUCUUUCAUGGCUCUGUGCUGUUGCUUGGCAGCUGGUGAAGCUGGUCUUUGCCUGUGGGAGCCUCAGCCUACAGAGGCUCCUUCUUGCCUCUGUCAUCUGUGACUUAAGUCACUGGGGACAAGUUCCAGCUCUUGGGAGGUUUUCCUCCAAAAUAUAAGGCACCACCAGUUAAUUUAACUGGAGGGCAUAUAUUUCAAGAAUCUACAAGCUCCAUUUUCUGAUUCAAGGAAUUACUUUAUAGCCAGGGUUAGAGAAGAGCAGUUCUAUAAUGAAUUAUUUGGAAAAGGAGAAGAAAAUUAAUUCAAUUAAUGCUUUGAUCCUUAUUGUAUAAAGUAGAAUAAAAUAUCCAUAGUGAGGAUAUUCCAGGCAUUUCAAAAGUGAAUUUUCGUGAAAAGUCUUUAAUAAACAUGAAAUUACAUUUGUUGUGUCUGUUUCACCAUAGGAUAUACGAUUGGAUGCCUGAACAACCAAAUAUAUUCCAAGUGGAGCAACUGGAGCGCCUGAAGCGAGAAUUGCCAGAGCUUAAGAACUGUUUGUGUCCCACUGUUAGCCACUUCAUUCCUCCUUCUUUCUGUAUGGAGUCUAAAAUCCAUGUGGAUGCUAACGGCAUUGAUAAUGUGGAGAACGCUUAGUUCCUAGUGCACAGAGGACAUUCAGAGGCUCUCCCCUGCGCUGAGGUUCCGUCUCCACCACUGAACACCGGUCGCCUCUUAGGUUUCUCAGUCCAAUGAAGCAAUAAUGAAGUAUUUUACUAUCAUUACAGUUCCCGCAAGAAUAUCAAGUACACUAUUUAUCACUUGUCCAGGUAUAAUUACCAAUCAGUCUCUGUACAAAUGUUAAACACUUUAAAUGAGAGAUCUAAGCCUAUAAUGGUGAAUCUUCAUUAAAAGCAUAAUACUUGGAAAUUAGCUAUAUAAAUAUCUCAUAGUUCAGGCUUUUCAUUUGAUUAGGUCUUAAAUCUUCAGUGCUUGAGAAAAAUGACUGCAUAAUUAUACCUGACCAUGGAAAUAAUAAGUACCUCAAGUGCAUGCAUUUGCACUGGUGGCUCCAGCUGCACAAGUCUGUGUCAUCCAUGUACAUAGGUGUCUUUACAUGGGUUGAUAGAAACAUGCACUAGGCUCCUUUAGUAUAAACCUCAGACUGCUGCCAUUUCCCACCUGACCCAAACCAGCCUGCAGAUGAACCUCAAAACUUGUUUCAUAGACUGUUCAAAGAUUUUAAAAGUUCCAGAAUGCUGCAGGGUAACUUAAUGUAUAAAGUAUUUGUAAGAGGUAUAUAUUGCAUAUAUAGUCGUGUAGAUCAGAAUGUGUAAAUUUGACUCCGUGCAUGCUUUAGGUUUGUUUUAAGCAUGAGGUUGUACAUGUUUACUGUCCUUGCAUCUGGUGCUAGGUGAGUGAGAUGUUAAGGACUGAAAAUAUUUUGUCGCCUAAAAAGAGUAUGCCUAUUUAGUGUCUCACUACCUAGUAAGCAAUUGCCGUGUGUGCUCCACAGUAGUUAACCCCCAUGCAGAAAAAUAAAUGUCCUGAAUUCUCAAAUUGCUAUUCUUUAUUGUUUAAUAUAUAUCAUGUAUGUAAUUUAUUUAGGAAUGUAGAAAUUACUGUAUAUAAAUGCAUGCUUUUAGGAUUAUACUAAGAUUUCAUUAGAAGCAGAUUGUAUUGAUAAAACUGUAACUUCAGAAUGAAUGUUAAAUAAAAUGACAGAUUUAUUUUUUCCUCAUCUUAAAAUGAAAUUUGAAGAAGGUAUUUUGUAGAAUUGUUUUAUAAUCGUAUCUGUCUGACAAUAGUCAUUUAUUCAUUUUGUAUGGCUGGCUCACCGCACGCUCUGUGUUCCUGCUGGGGUAGUUUGUUCAUGUAUUGACAUUUUGACAGAAGCUAAAAUCCUAAGACUUGAGAUGACAAGUUGUACCUUUUAUUUUUUUAAUUUUUUGGGACAACCUGUGUAGCCUUGGCUGUCCAGGAACUCACUGUGUAAACCAGCUGGCUUUGAACUCCCAGAUCAUCUGCCUCUGCUUCCUAAGUGGUAUUAAAGUCAUGCGCCACCACCUUU